UUUCCGUAGGUGAACCUGCGGAAGGAUCAUUACUGAACUGUAUUUGUUAGCGGACCUCUUCGGAGUCGCGAGCAUCAAACCAUAUCGAUAACACCUGUGUACUUUAAGGCCGUCUUGAAAUGGCAAGUCAUUGGACCGCCGGCCCAUUUUAUACAAACAUUACAGUAACAAACGUAGUUUUAUUAUCAUAUAAUAAAACCUUUAACACCGGCACUCUUGGCUCUCGUAUCGUUGAAGAACGCAGCAGACCGGAUGUGUACGAGACACAAACCCAUACAC
rnacentral:misc_RNA from 1 species